GAAACACCUGGAGGAAGAAGGGUGAAUGGGAAACACCUGGAGGAAGAAGGGAGUGGGGAGGAGUUCCAAGCAGAAGGGACCGAGCCGCAUGGACUGGGAAUUCUAAGUGGCUGGAUAGAAAGCGUCUGUCAAAGACGGUGACACGUUAGGCCAGAGAGAUUUGGGGACCUGAAGGCCUCGAAGGUCUCUCUCUGUGUUACUUUCAUGGGCGUGGAGUACAGAUGUGUCUCAGAGCACCCCUACACUUGUGCAGUGCACAACUCAAAUAACUGAGCAGGGUGACCCUGCCCCACUAAGGGAGAUGAGCUUUAUCUUGAGGGGAAUGGGCAGCCUUCAGAGGGUUUGAAGCAGAAGAUUGACAUGGCUAUAAAUGUGAGUUUAAAAGAUCACAGUGGCUGUGGAGCAUGUGUUAGAGGAAGAAAAGGCGGAGGCAGGAAAGCAGUUGGGAGGAAGCCUUGUGAAUGCAGGUGAGGCUUGUCAGGGCUGCUUUCAGGCAGUGCUGGGGAGAAUGGAGGGGCGCAUGCUGUGUGGGGCCCGCAGUGGCUUCUGUAGGAGCUUGAGAGUGACAGCACAAGGAAUGAAGAAAAUGUCCAAUCCACUGUAAACAUCUUCGGUGGCUUCAUUGCGCCAGACAGCCCCACCGUAGCCUGGGCCCUGAGCUUCUGCCUACCAGGCUGUCAGCAACAUCUCAGCAACAGGCUCCAGCCAGUUGGCACAUACCUGGCUCAGCUCUACAGGUAGCAGUGAUGCUUUUAGGACCUCGUUUGUUAUUUUUCAGACCUAACCUCAUUGCUCUGCACUUCAGGGGCUGAAAUGCAACUCCCUGUGGGGCCCAAGGGGACUUUUGGCCUCUCUGCAGCCUGCUGGUCCCUGGAGGAUCUACCUCGUGCUGCUCACCCAAACCCUGCACGGCUGGCAAAUCCCUUCUGGGUUUUGUUUGAGGCACCAGAGGCUCCCCUGAGGCAUUGAAUUCUGAUUUUAUUGUUGCUGUUGCUGUUGAUGUUUGUGUCCAUACAUUUUGCAACUUCCCACAAACUUGUACAUCCAAAUGCUUUGCCCUG
rnacentral:lncRNA from 1 species